CCCUGUUUGGUUCAGUUGGUAGAGCAUGUGAUUCUGAAUCUCAAGGUCAUGAAUUCAAAUCCCACAUUGGGUG
rnacentral:tRNA from 1 species